rnacentral:snRNA from 1 species
GGAGGUCACUAGCCUAGGCC